UACGUAGGGUGCAAGCGUUGUCCGGAAUUAUUGGGCGUAAAGCGCGUGUAGGCGGCUUUGCAAGUCGGGGGUGAAAGCCCUCAGCUCAACUGAGGAAGUGCGCCCGAAACUGCAGAGCUUGAGUACCGGAGAGGAUGGCGGAAUUCCCCAAGUAGAGGUGAAAUUCGUAGAUAUGGGGAGGAACACCGGUGGCGAAGGCGGCCAUCUGGACGGAUACUGACGCUGAGACGCGAAAGCGUGGGGAGCAAACAGG
rnacentral:rRNA from 1 species